rnacentral:rRNA from 1 species
CCUCAAAUCAGGUAGGACUACCCGCUGAACUUAAGCAUAUCAAUAAGCGGAGGAAAAGAAACUAACAAGGAUUCCCCCAGUAACUGCGAGUGAAGAGGGAAGAGCUCAAAUUUAGAAUCUGACAGUCUUUGGCUGUCCGAGUUGUAAAUUAGAGAAGUGUUAUCCGCGCUGGCUGUGCAUAAGUCUCUUGGAAAAGGGCAUCAUAGAGGGUGACAAUCCCGUCUUUGGCACAGACUACCAGGGCUUUUGUGAUACGCUCUCGAUGAGUCGAGUUGUUUGGGAAUGCAGCUCUAAAUGGGUGGUAAAUUCCAUCUAAAGCUAAAUAUUGGCGAGAGACCGAUAGCGCACAAGUACCGUGAGGGAAAGAUGAAAAGAACUUUGAAAAGAGAGUUAAACAGUACGUGAAAUUGUUGAAAGGGAAACGCUUGAAGUCAGUCACAUCCUUCAGAAAUCAACCUGACCAUCAGGUCUUGGUGUACUUUCUGUUUGGAUGGGUCAGCAUCAAUUUUGAUCAUUGGAUAAAGGCCUUGGGAAAGUGGCAUCUCUGGAUGUGUUAUAGCCCAUGGUUCAUACACAGUGGUUGGGAUUGAGGAACUCAGUGCUUUUUGCACUUCAGGAUGCUGGCAUAAU